GUCCGCCCACUCUGAAGCCAUGCUGCAGGCAGCUCUUGAUGACAUAGACUGGGACAUGUUUUGGGCAAGUUCAUCUGACGUCAGCGAGUUCACAGAUGUAGCAUUAAGCUUUGUAAACACGCUAGCCGAGCAAGCAACUGAAACAAAAACUAUAAGGAACUUCUCUAAUCAGAAAGCGUGGGUGGACAGAACAAUCCGUGCAGCAGUAAACAAACGCACUGCUGCAUACAACGCUGGUCUUUUGUCGGGGACCGCCGGACCUGAUGGGAUUUCUGGCCGUGUUCUGAGGUCCUGCGCUGAUCAACUCGCUGGUUUGUUUACAUCCAUCCUUAAUGAGUCUUUUGUUACCUCGGUGGUUCCCACCUCCUUUAAAAAAUCUGUCAUCAUCCCUGUACCUAAGAACAAUAAACCCUCUUGUCUGAAUGACUAUCACCCAGUUGCCUUCACAUCAAUGGUCAUGAAGGUCUUUGAGGGACUGGUAAAAAAAUGCAUUUGCUCCUCCAUCCCGGAUACUUCAGACCCUCUUCAGUUUGCCUACCACCCCAAUAUAUCCACUGAAGAUGCCAUCUGUCACAUCCUACACUCUUCUCUCACGCACAUUGACAUCAAUAACGGGAACUAUGUAAGGCUGCUAUUUAUCAACUAUAGCUCAGCUUUCAAUACUAUAGUCCCCAUCAAGCUUGCUUCUAAACUCAUAGACCUCAGUCUAAACUCUUCACUUUGGUCAAAGUGUAUUGACUCAGUGUAUAUCAGUGAGGUAUGGGAACAGCUCCAGUCAAGACUGCAAAGCCCUCCAGAGAGUUGUGUGCUUAGCUGAGCACAUCUCAGGGUCUGCUCUCCCCUCUCUGCUGGACAUCUACCUCAAACACUGCAAAAGCAGAGCUGUUAAAAUCAUCAAGGACUCAAACCACCCUAGUAACGGUCUUUUCACUUUGCUACCAUCUGGAAAGAGCUUCCGUAGCCUGAUGGCAAAAACUGAGAGACUUAGGAGGAGUUUCUUCCCCCAGGCCAUCAGGCUCCUAAACUCAAAACCAGCCUCUUAACAUCUACAUGUCUCCGCUUAAUAUUCACUUAAUCAGUACAAUAUUUAUCAUUCUCUACCUUAUAUUGACAUAUUGACAUUUUAACAGUGUCACAAGC
ensembl:lncRNA